AAGGGGUAAUGGUUCCAGGACUUACUUUUGGAAAUGCGGUUGUUUGCUUUAAAUCAGGGGUACAAUCAGGACUCGAUGGGAACCAAAGGUCAGUGGGUCGCCUCGCAUUGGGCACUCACGGGAAGACUACAAAUGAAGCUGUGCAAGGGGAUAUGGGCUGGACUAGUUUUGAAGUGAGGGAAGCUCGCAGUAAAAUUGAGUAUGAAGAACGGCUGAGGAAUAUGGAGGAAAGUAAUUGGGCUGGGAGAGUGUUCAGGUAUCUGUACAGGCAAAACAUUGAUUCACAGUGGAGGAAAAGAACUAGGAAGCUUACCAGUAAGUAUGCGGCCUGUGGGGUGGGCAACACAGCAACAAAGAAGGUCAAGCGGAAAGUCAGAGAGGCUGAAUUAAUCUCAUGGGUGGCGGCAAUGGAAAAGAAACCUGCCAUGAGUAACUACUUAAGGGGAAAGAACGAAAUUAGGAAAGAAACCAUUUAUGAUAACUCAAAGGGAAGCUCAUUACUUUUCGAAGCGAGAUCGGGAUGCCUUAGAACACGCACCUAUAAAGCGAGAUAUAAGAAGGAAGAAGAAGCAUGUGCUUGCUGCGGUAAAGCUAGGGAAACGACGGAGCAUAUUUUAUUAGAAUGUGAAGACGUCUAUCCAGCGGUCGAUUUAGGCACCACUGGCCUCCUUGAAGCCCUUGGGUUCAGCGGGAGCAGUGGUAAAGCAAACAGGUCCGCAAUAGACAUCAGUAAGAGGCGAUUGGAGGAUUGGUGGAAGAAAAGUAGGGAAACGACAAAAGACGGAGACGUACAAAAGCACAGUUCGCAAUAGGGUAUCAGAAAAUUUGGACGUGGUAGUUCAUAGUUGGGUUUUUUUGUUUUUUCAUUGGUUAAACUAGGUAGGAUAUUAGGCAGCAUAGUAGCAAGAGCUUGGUGGCGCAAGCCACCGCCCCGUUCCAAAGGGGACGCUCAUAACAUCCAUCCAUCCAUCCAUCGCACUUGCACUAAUACGGAACGUCGGGGCGACGGGGCAAGUACACCUGGAGUGUAAAUAUAAUGGUUAUCGCAACAAAAGAAAAAUAGUACAGGUUUUAACAUCCCACGGACAUCCGAAUGUCCGAGAGCUACGCCUGCAGAACGUCCAGUCGCACGCCUUCCUUCCAUUUUUUUUUUUUUUUUCUUGCUCGGCUCGGUCCAGAAGACAUUUGUAAUAUUGUCACGACGUUAACAAGCGAGACAUUGGCAAAACACCCGUGUACUUAGCUUUACGUGCGCAUGUAUUAACUUUAGAUGCGCGGUAAAGAACCCCAAGUGGUCCAAAUUAUUCCUUAACCCUCCCCAACUAUAGCGUGCCUCAUAAUCAGGUCGUGGUUCUGGCACGUAAAACCCCAUAAUUAGAACCGGGCAGACCAAACUAAAUAACUGGUGAUUCGCAUUGAUGAGCCAUCAACAGCUAUUUUAGAUUCUUGUUUCACUGCUAUAUAUAUUAAUUAUAAACUGAAUAAAUCAGUAAGUUUAAACGACUGCUGUGCAUCAGCAGGAAUCGAAAUGAUCAAAACCACGAGAAGGACGCUACCAAAACCGCAUACUAGUCGAAGCUUAUCCAAAGCCAGCAUUGUGCCGCCGCGGUCAUGGCAGCGAGCGCAUAGAAUAAAGAACCGAGCGGCCGAUCCCCUUCCGAUGUCGGAAGCCAGUUUUGUCUUCCUGGGUGAUUUGACGCAGUCGCGGUACACCUGCAUCCAAGUUCGCUCUGCUUCGAUUGUGUGGAACACGGCGUACAAUACGUAACCCUGUCGCAAAUGGAAGGGGACAGGAAGUUUUGGUAUUACACGGGCUCUUCCACUGGCACAACGUGGGACGCUUCGCAGGCAAUCGCUACACUGACAUUCAACGAUGCAGGUUGAGAACGCCCUCAUGUGGAGGCGCGCCAGAGAAAAGAGCCUGCUGAAGUGCCAACAGUGCAAUUACACCACCCGCCAACGAGGCCACAUGAACCGGCACAUGGUGGUGCACACGGGCAAGCGCCCCUUCGGGUGUCACCUGUGCCCCAUGGCGUUCAGCCGCCAAGCCAGCCUGGCCGAUCACGUGCAAACGCACAGCCGCAGCAAGAAGUUCCAGUGCCGCUACUGCCCCGUCACGUUCACCGACCGGUCUGCCCUCUGGCGGCACUUCACUGUAAUGCACUUCACGCCGUAGAAUUGUGUCGGCAUGUUUUGCUGCACAGCACAAGGCCACGGCUCUGGGUCCUUGCUGCCGCAGUGACAUUCCAUUGGGUGUGAAGGGCAAGGAUGCUUGUGUACAUGGAUUACGGCACACGUUAAAGAACAAGAAGAAGAAAAGAAAGCUUGUGUUGCAUUUGAAUUUAAAUUAAUUGUGCCAGCAUGUGAAAGCAGCAAUACAUGGGGUCUCCCAUGGAGUAAGGACAGAAGUCAACGAGCCGAGUAUUCAGUUGGCUCUAGAUGUGCCACAUGGCAUGUGUCAGCGAGUUAUACGCCCGUACAUAUACACCGUAUAUACACCGUAUACCGUAUGUAGCAUGUAUAUACCGGGUAGUUCUUCUUUUUUUACACCAUACAGAAUUUUUUAAAAUUUCUGGCAGCAGAUAGCAUAAUUCUGGUCAUUGAGCUAGAUUACUUGAAGCAGCAGACAUUACUGGCUGGAGAAAUAGAAUUGCAUGAUCAAUUCACAAAAACAUACUCGUGAGCUUUUUAAUUAUUUAUUUUAUGGCAUGUAUUGCAAUUUACAAGUUGCAGCCUGUGAGUUCGCAAGUACCCUGGUUAGAUGCUGAAAGCAGCAUCUCUGUGUGAAUGGACAAGGUAAUUAUCUCCUCGUGGUUCUUGUUGUAAAAACCGUUUUCUUUGGCCAAUACACUGAGUUGAAGAUCUAACACUGCGCAGUACGUUGGCAUGCUUGUGCAACAUCCUCUAUUUUCGUGUCAACUGGCCAUAAUUGAAAAGCACUUCAUGGCUGCUUUUUGUUAUCUGUGACCACACACCGGCCUAGACUAAAUCGGCGGGAACUAUCACAAAAGGCUCACAGCAAUAUUGCAUCUGAACCAUUUUCACACAGUUCUGCAUGCCUCACCUUUUAUAUAGAGGAGAAAUGUUACAUCGAAGCUGUUAGCCUGUAGUUGGUCGGGAUUUUUCAUGGCCGUGUGUGUGUUGCUCACAAACUCAAAAAAUGUCAUGUUUGGCCUGAUGACAUCAUCAGAUUACGAAAUCGGGCAAUUUGUCACAUGACGAUGCUGUUUUCUCGUACAUUCGAAUUGCAGUCCGAAGCUGUCGUGUCUGCAGCUCGUGUGCAAGUCGUGCUUUAUGAAUUUUCUAGUGCAAUUUACUUUGAGAAAUUCAAUUAGUUCAAUACUACACUUGCACUUGAUGGAGGGCCUGGAGGAAUGAGCAUCUAUGCUGCACUACCACACACGUGCGUGCAUGACGUAUGUCGCUUGUGGUGGUGGAGCUUGUCUAACGUCUGUCAUGCGUGUCUAACGUCUGCAACAUCUUCACUGCACAUCCACCUUCACAGGGUGGAAUGGAGGCAUUUUUUUUUUUACACAAUCGCUGCUGAGGCUAAUCUAAAAGAAGAAGAAAAGCAACAUGCCCAAAUGGGUAUGGGACAAGAGAUGUUAAAGUAAUUAAAAAGUUAAUUAGUAAUAUUUCGGUACGUAGUUGAUUGCGCAUUUCGAUUUUUCGUGUGAAUACUGUCCCCCGCUUCAAGCAAUACAGCUUACGGAUUACAAUUACGCUGUCUGCCCCAGAAAUUUUUUAAACAUUCUGUAUGGUCUAAUGAAAACAUACCGUGUAUGCAUAUAUCUGUAGGAUACGUAUGUCGCAAGAGCAUUAAACUGUUUGCUGCAGAACAGUUGUAUAAGUCAUAACAACCAUCCUUAACCAAAUCAAGCACGCUUUGCAUUACAUAGAUGUGAAGUGAAGUGAAGCUUGUACUGCUCUUCAUUUAAGCAUACGGCAAAACUAGACUGAAUCUCAAUGUUAGGUAGAUGUGUUUCUGCUGAUCAUCAGUGAUGUAGUCACUGCCUGCUCUAUGUGUCACUCAUUAAUAUAUUCGACAUGGUGGUGUGAAAGCUUUAGUAGAUAGCAAGUGCUUAGCAGCCUUUUAUUGAGAAGCAUUGCAUUUUAUCAUUCUCUUGUGACUGCUUUAUUUACAAAAGCUGACAAUAUUAAUCCAGCCAUUUAUCUUUGAUCACUUGCAUUAUGCAUCCUUAGAAUGUUCCUUUUAUUUGUCAAAGGGAAGCAGAGUGUUUCUUUACAUGUUAUAGCACCCCUUAAGUAUAUUAGAAGAAACAUGAUUUUAAUUCUGCACCCUUACAAUGUACACAUCUGUUCCAUUAAAUUGUGAUUAAGAUCUUUGCAGUUAAGCAUCCUCACAUGCAGCUCUGUGCUGGUGACGAAUAGCUACAAUCCAGUGGUCUUGCUUCGUUGGACCAACAGUAAACAUUGUACAUAUUUAGAGGGAGCGUGUGUAUUCACUCACCUCAUUUUCUGUGGCAACGAACCGGGCAAUAAAAUGGAUAUGCAUAAUUUGUGCAUCUAAGGCAUCUUC